rnacentral:rRNA from 1 species
AUGGACGGGUGGCUGAGCUUGUGUUUCAUAGCACUAUGCACACCACUCGCCCUCUGGUGUCUCAAGCUCGCCGGCGGCAAGAGAAAGCCACAGAAGCACAAGCUGCCCCCGGGGCCAUGGACUCUCCCGGUCAUCGGCAGCCUACACCACCUCGCUGGUGGCGUCCCGCACCGGAAGAUCACGGAGCUAUGCCGCCGGUACGGCCCGCUGAUGCUCCUCAGGCUUGGGGAGGUCCCGGCCGUGGUGGUCUCCAGCGCCGAGGCUGCGGCGCUGGUGAUGAAGACCAACGACCCCGUGUUCGCGGACCGGCCGAGCAGCGCCACGGUGGACAUCGCCGGCUGCGGCGGCAGGGGCAUCAUCUUCGCCCCCUACGGCGACCACUGGCGCCAGAUGCGCAAGGUGUGCAUCAUGGAGCUCCUCGGCUCCACGCAGGUGAACCGUAUGGAGGGCAUCAGGGCCGAGGAGACGGCCAGCCUCCUCCGCUCCAUCACCGCCUCCGCCGGCGCCGCCACCAUCAACGUCACACAGAAGGUGAUGGCGCUCAGCAACGACGUCGUGACGAGGGCGGUUUUCGGCGGCAGGUUCGAGCAGCAGGACGAGUACCUCGGUGAGUUGCACAAGGCGUUUGAGCUGCUGGGCGCCUUCUGCCUCGUCGACCUCUUUCCGUCGUCCAGGUUAGUCAGGUGGCUGAGCAAUGGCGAGCGCCACAUGAAGAGAAGCUACGGCCGCACCCAGCGCAUCAUCAGAAAGGUUAUCGAGGGGCGCAAGGUCAAGAGAGCUGCCGGCGUCGGCGCUUCCGGAACCUACGACGAGGACCUGCUGGACGUGCUGCUCAGGCUGUAGGAGGACUCGUUGGAGUUUCCCCUAACCACAGAGACAAUAGUAUAUCUUUUUUUUGAUGUAUUUGCAGGUGCUACGGAAACAAUAGGAUCUGUUUUGUCAUGGGCCAUGUCAGAGCUUAUGCACAAUCCUGACACAAUGGCUAAAGCACAACACGAAGUACGUGAGGUACUUGGUAAAGACCGAGGUGUCAUUAAUAACAAUGACCUUUCUGAACUCCACUAUAUGAGAAUGGUCAUCAAUGAGGCCCUUAGGUUGCAUCCACCUGGUCCUCUUGUCCACCGCAUGGCCAGAGAUGAUUGUACACUUAUGGGUUAUGACAUCCCUAAAGGCACCAAUGUGUUCAUUAAUGUUUUUGAAAUUUCUCAAGAUCCUAGACAUUGGGACAAUCCUAAAGAGUUUAGGCCAGAGAGAUUUGAGAACAACGACGUAAACUACAAGGGGACACGCUUUGAGUUCAUUCCCUUCGGGACUAGGCGACGACAAUGCCCUGGGAUUCAUUUCAGCUCGUCGGUCACUGAGAUGGUAUUAGCAAAUUUCCUAUAUCACUUCGAGUGGAUGCUCCCUGACGGGGAUAAACUUUCUUCAUUUGACAUGUCUGAGAAAUUUGGCCUUACGGUAGCAAGAUAUGACUUGCAACUUAAACCUAUUACACACGUGUGGUCCAAUGCUAUGCCAUAG